AUUAUUUAUUUAACCCAAAACCAUUCUUACUAAGGAUUUAAGGAUCCAGUGAUAUACAAGAGGAUAAUUGUCAAAGCCUCAGUAAAUCAACAAUCCGGUUUGAUUUUGAUAGGGAAAUUUUCCAAACUGUGGGCAGGAGAAUGCUAAAAUUAAGUUUUGCUAUGAGUAAUAGAAAGGUAAAGACAAAAUAUCGAACACACCCACCAUUCAAAUGGGUUCAUAUUCAUGUUUAGGGGAUUGUUUACCUUGCAGGGCAAUAAUAGGAGCUGUCAUCUUAUUUAGAUGCUUAGGAAUGAAUCCUAAGCUUAUAUGCUAAAUCAUAAUCUGAUGUUUAGAUACUGUUCAGUAUAAACAUAAAUUUACUAGUUGAUUUUAGCUGUAAUCCUUAUACAUUAUUCUAAAUGAUGAAGUAAAUUUAACUACUAAAGAACUGAUUAUCAUUGACUAUGCCACAUUCUAUUAAAAUUGUAUUUUAAGUAGACUAAAAACAUGAUUUUUUCAUUUCGAAAUCUGAAAGCUUUAGUGUUUUUUCAGUAUUACUGAAUAAUCAUUUUCAGACUUUUAUUUAUUGUGCUACAGGUGACUUUCAGUCAAUCAUAUUCUGAAGUCAAAAUACUAUCAUACUUACCAAAAACUUGUGUAGCUAUCAUUGAAAACAGUAAUAAUGAGCUCUUUUAUCUUUACUCUUUCCUCUUCCAACCUAUGCUCUACUUCCACUCAUUUAUCCAUCCUUAACUUCUUCCUUACUAUUAUAUACUACAAAGAUCCAAAAAUUGGGCAACAUUAUAAAUAAUACACAAAUCUCUUUGACAGGAAUAGAAAUCAUAUUUUUAUAGCCAUGUUUAAAAUUAUGCACCAGAAAUAAUCUGAUGUAUAUUAAUCACUUUA
rnacentral:lncRNA from 1 species